UCGGAGUGCUUGCACUCUGUGAAACAAGAUACAGGCUAGCGGCGGACGGGUGAGUAACACGUGGGUAACCUGCCCAAGAGAUCGGGAUAACACCUGGAAACAGAUGCUAAUACCGGAUAACAACAGAUGAUGCCUAUCAACUGUUUAAAAGAUGGUUCUGCUAUCACUCUUGGAUGGACCUGCGGUGCAUUAGCUAGUUGGUAGGGUAACGGCCUACCAAGGCGAUGAUGCAUAGCCGAGUUGAGAGACUGAUCGGCCACAUUGGGACUGAGACACGGCCCAAACUCCUACGGGAGGCAGCAGUAGGGAAUCUUCCACAAUGGACGCAAGUCUGAUGGAGCAACGCCGCGUGGGUGAAGAAGGGAUUCGGCUCGUAAAGCUCUGUUGUUGGUGAAGAAGGACAGGGGUAGUAACUGACCUUUGUUUGACGGUAAUCAAUUAGAAAGUCACGGCUAACUACGUGCCAGCAGCCGCGGUAAUACGUAGGUGGCAAGCGUUGUCCGGAUUUAUUGGGCGUAAAGCGAGUGCAGGCGGUUCGAUAAGUCUGAUGUGAAAGCCUUCGGCUCAACCGGAGAAUUGCAUCAAAAACUGUCGAGCUU
rnacentral:rRNA from 1 species